UGGGGAAUUUUGCGCAAUGGGGGAAACCCUGACGCAGCAACGCCGCGUGGAGGAUGAAGUCUCUUGGGACGUAAACUCCUUUCGAUCGGGAAGAUUAUGACGGUACCGAUAGAAGAAGCCCCGGCUAACUUCGUGCCAGCAGCCGCGGUAAUACGAGGGGGGCAAGCGUUGUUCGGAAUUAUUGGGCGUAAAGGGUGCGUAGGCGGUUUGGUAAGUCUUGUGUGAAAUCUACAGGCUCAACUUGUAGUCUGCACGAGAAACUGCCGGGCUUGAGUGUGGGAGAGGUGAGUGGAAUUUCCGGUGUAGCGGUGAAAUGCGUAGAUAUCGGAAGGAACACCUGUGGCGAAAGCGGCUCACUGGACCAUAACUGACGCUGAUGCACGAAAGCUAGGGGAGCAAACAGGAUUAGAUACCCUGGUAGUCCUAGCCCUAAACGAUGACUGCUUGGUGUGACGGGUACCCAAUCCCGCCGUGCCGUAGCUAACGCGUUAAGCAGUCCGCCUGGGGAGUACGGUCGCAAGGCUG
rnacentral:rRNA from 1 species